rnacentral:lncRNA from 1 species
CUUUUCAUUCCCGUUGUUAUGGAGGGCCACAUCUGCCAGAGCCUGGAGUCUGCGAAGGCCGGGACCCGGUUCCCCGGCCCACAGUGGGGGUGUGCAAACCCGAGAGAACUGGGUUGCAAAUUCGUGAAGAAUCAGCAUCAUGUUUGGCAGCUGAGUAUUGGAGCCAGGAGCCUGCCAUGAGCCGAUGCAGCCUCAGUGUUCCUUUGCCUUGGGGGUUUCUGAGUGGUGGGGUUGUAAGCAGAUCCUGCCAGGCACCCAGAAGGAAACCUCAUCAGGACUCCCUCAGAAAGGCCCUGAAGAAUCCUGUGACCUUCAUCUAAAGUAGGUCAUGAGACCCCUGAGCUUAAAACGGAGUGAUCGGCUUUGGAGAAGUAAGGAGACAUGACGUGCCUGCCCUGGGGUGGGGACUAAACUUCGUGCCACUCCACGUGAAAGGGGGAGAAAUCCCUGGAAGGCACGCAGGCUGGACAUCAUCAUAUAUUCUCUACAGAUGGAGACACCAAGGCCCACGCCUUCUGUGCUGUUGGAAUUUCAGGAAGGAUGGGGGUGGGGCACGGCCUCAGCCCUGGGCAUGUUCUGCAGAUUGCACUGCUCUUAUCUGCCAGGGGGUGGUGAGAGGGUGGCUGAGCUGGACAGAUGGCGGGCAGGGACGGGCUCUGCGGUCUGGCAGCUGACAUUGAUACAAGCAAAAAAAGAGUCUUUGCUGGGG